rnacentral:rRNA from 1 species
UACGUAGGGUGCAAGCGUUGUCCGGAAUUAUUGGGCGUAAAGAGCUCGUAGGCGGUCUGUCGCGUCUGCUGUGAAAACUCAGGGCUUAACCCUGAGCUUGCAGUGGGUACGGGCAGACUAGAGUGCGGUAGGGGAGACUGGAAUUCCUGGUGUAGCGGUGAAAUGCGCAGAUAUCAGGAGGAACACCGGUGGCGAAGGCGGAUCUCUGGGCCGUAACUGACGCUGAGGAGCGAAAGCAUGGGGAGCGAACAGG